rnacentral:rRNA from 1 species
CCUACGGGAGGCAGCAGUGGGGAAUUUUGGACAAUGGGCGCAAGCCUGAUCCAGCCAUUCCGCGUGCAGGAUGAAGGCCCUCGGGUUGUAAACUGCUUUUGUACGGAACGAAAAGGCUCUGGCUAAUACCUGGGGCUCAUGACGGUACCGUAAGAAUAAGCACCGGCUAACUACGUGCCAGCAGCCGCGGUAAUACGUAGGGUGCAAGCGUUAAUCGGAAUUACUGGGCGUAAAGCGUGCGCAGGCGGUGAUGUAAGACAGAGGUGAAAUCCCCGGGCUCAACCUGGGAACUGCCUUUGUGACUGCAUCGCUGGAGUACGGCAGAGGGGGAUGGAAUUCCGCGUGUAGCAGUGAAAUGCGUAGAUAUGCGGAGGAACACCGAUGGCGAAGGCAAUCCCCUGGGCCUGUACUGACGCUCAUGCACGAAAGCGUGGGGAGCAAACAGGAUUAGAUACCCUGGUAGUCCACGCCCUAAACGAUGUCAACUGGUUGUUGGGUCUUCACUGACUCAGUAACGAAGCUAACGCGUGAAGUUGACCGCCUGGGGAGUACGGCCGCAAGGUUAAAACUCAAAUGAAUUGACGG